rnacentral:ncRNA from 1 species
CCUGCAAAAAUUCUCUCGGCUACAAGUGAUGACUGCUGUCUGGGGUUAUCCGCUGGUUAUGCUCCUUUGAAGAUCGGGCCAUCGCCGAGCAAUGGUUUAUUAUCUGGUGCGAAGCACGCGGUGCAUGUCGAGCGCCUUCGCGGGCACCGACGCAGCCAAUGCACGAUCCUUUGUCGAGAACAGUGUCGGUCGGGGAGUUUGACUGGGGCGGUAUGUUUGUCAAACGGUAACACAGGUGUCCCAAGGCAAGCUCAGCGUGGACAGAAACCACGCGUUGAGCAAAAGGGCAAAAGCUUGCUCAAUCUCAAUUUUGAGUACGAAUACAGACCGCGAAAGCAUGGCCCAUCGAUCCUUUCCAAAUAACAGUGGCGAGCUAUGCGUCUGCCGAGAGGUGUCAGAAAAGUUACCACAGGGAUAACUGGCUUGUGGCAGCCAAUCGUUCACAGCGACGUCGCUUUUUGAUCCUUCGAUGUCGGCUCUUCCCAUCAUUGCGAAGCAGAAUUCGCAAAGCGUUGGAUUGUUCACCCACUAACAGGGAACGUGAGCUGGGUUUAGACCGUCGUGAGACACUC